GACGAAGGAUGCAAGCGUUAUCCGGAUUCAUUGGGUUUAAAGGGUGCGUAGGCGGGUCUUUAAGUCAGGGGUGAAAUCCUGGAGCUCAACUCCAGAACUGCCUUUGAUACUGAGGAUCUUGAGUUCGGGAGAGGUGAGUGGAACUGCGAGUGUAGAGGUGAAAUUCGUAGAUAUUCGCAAGAACACCAGUGGCGAAGGCGGCUCACUGGCCCGAUACUGACGCUGAGGCACGAAAGCGUGGGGAGCAAACAGGG
rnacentral:rRNA from 1 species